UCCUAGCUCCUUGCCCUUAACAGGGCAAUGCAGAUAAAGUUCAUUAAAUAUAUUGUCUAAGGUAGGAAAGUGAAGAAGUUUUGCUGUAACAAGCACUUAAACUGUGCAUGGAAAAAAAAAAGUAAAAAAUUGGAACAAAUUAUUUCUUACAAAAGCAAAGGUGGUGAAGGGCAUAUUGGUAUUGCAUGUUUUGCUGCAUUCACAAAAUUGCCCAAAUGAAGAAUCUCUGGAUGGGAUGUAUUAUUAGACCUUAAUCAAUAGGAUUUUUUUCAAGCAGGCUGGGCAUCCAACUAUUUGACGCAGAUCCUUUCCACACACGAGAGCACUGGAACACCGGAAACUGCAGCAUUAAUGAAUUACAAGGAAGAUUGCAAAUGCCUAUGAUUUUAGAGCUAAUUUUGACAAGAAAAUGGUCAAGCAAUUUUUACAGGUUUUUGAUACUUCUGCUGGAAUACUGAAUUUUUGUUUCUUCUUACAGCAGGUGCAGUGUUCACAGAAUUGCACAAUCCCAGAGUGGUGGAGGUAGGAAAGCACCUCUGGAGAUCAUCUGAUCCAAACCUCUGCUGAAAAUCAUGGCCAGCUAGAGCCUGUCCAUCAGACUGCUUUGGCUGUUGGAGACAAACUGGGCAGUUGCCUACAGGAGAGGAAGAGGAAGGAUAAGUGGUCCAGCCCAUCUUCAAAGACCCCAACUUUUGGGUGGUUCUGUUGGAGAAGCACCACUCCUCCCUGAAGAUAUCUGGUUGCACACAGAUUGUCCAUGAUUGGGUGUACAAGUGCACAAAGGGUCACAUUUCCACCACCUGAGGACAGCCAGGCCUGGCAGCCAGCGAUAGGAACAGCACACUUGGAGGAGCUUCUGGUUACCAGACUAAGGGGCAGCUCGUGCAUUUUGUGUGCUGCUUGAAGCUGCACCCUUCUUGUCCUCGGACCAGUGUCCAGGGCUCUUCAGGGUCCUCCUUUAUCUACCCAUGGAAAGCAACAACAUAGAACUGAGCAAUCUUCUUCUGGCCUCACCAUGUUAAAUCUCUAUCCUAAGAUCCUUGAGGACAUGCAUUGUCCCAUGAGAAUAAAAGCAAGUAAAGACUGACCACAUUUUUUCAGACCUAGGGGCAAAGAGACUUCACUCUCUUAUUCUUCAGUAUUCUGCAUCACAGCCAAUGCUUGCAACAAUGAUCACUUCAAAAUGCUGCUACCCUCCUUUCACUUACCCACUGUAUCCUAGUUACCAGCCUACUCAGUUCUCAAAGUCACUAAUAAACAUCAUUUUAAGUCAGCAAAUGUUUCGUGACCUACGCAAAGCAGGAGGUGGGAGAGAUGGGGAACUGCUGUCUUGAAAAGUUGGUUCAAGCAAUAUGCACAUGGAAAAUUAUAAUUUAGAUUGAAAUCAGGAAAGAAAAAUUAUCCAAAGUGUAUGGCAUUGCUCCCUCCAGAGUGACUGAUCUGUCAGAGAGCAACAGAGAUGUUCUAUCUGUGUUCCCAGAAACACUAACAAAAAGCAAGAUGUCAGUGACAUCAUAACAGACUGCUAGGACAUUCAGUUUACUCUCAUGAAUUCAGCAAAGCAGCCUGGGCAAAGUAGGCAAUUUCUGUUCAAACUCUUCACCAUGACAAUCUCCAAAGCCCAUCCAGCUCCAUCACAUAUUCUGCAGCAAGGACAAACAACCCAGGGAUUAAACUCUGGCUCUAGAGCAGACUGAUGGCAAAUCACCACUUAGUGCAAGAGACCUUCAUUUUGAGAUACUCUGUCUUCAAAAAACAGUUGAUGCUCACUCCCAUCACCUUGCUCACUGCUCCAUCCUUUCCCACACUGUUUUUUAGAGGUGACUUCAAACCAUCCUUAUCUCAAUGGAACAACCAUCACAAACCACCAGGGCUUCAUCCAUUUUAUCCAAACCAGCCUAAACCUGUGGGUUAACUACCUAUUUGGUAGCUUGUCCAGCACCAGAAAUAACUGCACCAAAAUUAAAAGGAGCUUACAAAACUGUUUGGUACAUAGAUAUACACACACAGGGACUUCUUCAAAAUGCAAAGCUUUCAAAAAAAAUCAACAUAAAUUUUUCAGCUCUAUCUAACCUAUUUUCUGCUUUUUCUUUAUGCAAUGCCAUAAUGUCCUUUUUGGAAACU